UAAGUGGUCAGCGUAGUUGCCUUUCACGUAGGAUACUACGGUUCGAGUCCCUGUA
rnacentral:tRNA from 1 species